AAACUCACAUAAUAUUGUACAUCAACUAUAUUUCAAUUUUAAAAAUUCAAUAGUCAGCUUCCUUGAUUGAUAUUCUAAGGACUCAAAACAAAACACCGACUCCAAGAGAGUCCAUCUCCAUAAGUUUCUAUUUCAGUCCCAUCCAAGCUUUCAGGAUUCUGUCCUUUUCGCACUGCUCUACUUUAUUGUCACCACCCACUUAGGUCCCUCUCUUCCUUCUACUCUUUCUCCCGACUUUCUAAGUGAGUCUGUCUCAGGAAAGGCACAAUAACAUCGCAAAAUAUCCCCUUAAAACUACUAGAUCAGAAGGCAUAUCUAUAGCAGCUGAAAUUUAACUAUAGUCUAGUGCUAAAUUGAGGGCUAUAAUUAUAGAAUUUUUGUAAACCUCAGGAAGGAAGAAAUUUGCUGUAGAAUUUAGGAUUUUGCUAGACAUUGUCCUGGGCUAUCAGAUUUUUACCAACCUAACUUUAGUUCACUUAAUUGCUAGUCUCCCUGGUGAGGGACAAUGUUAAAAGCAGCAGCGGAGGAGAGAGAGAAACUAAAUAACCCAGCUAUGCCACAGUUUUUUCAAUGGUCCUGAAAGGGCAAGAAAAAUAAGAAAGUUACUAAAAAUAAGGCCAUUUCAGAAGCCUUUUCAUUAUAGGCAGUGGUAUGCUGGCAAAUAUUUAACCACCAGCCCUCAACCUGAAAGGGGAGCCAUGAAUUGUAGGGUUUGCAGAUUUCCAUGCUGUAAAUGUACCCACGCUGGCCAAUUCCAGGCUAACAACAUGACAUCAUUGAAUGCAGUAUUGAGUAGAGAGGCUCUCAAGAGCCAGUGCAAGCUGGCUCCAGCACGCACUGCUCCAGGCUAGCUUGGCUAGAUUCAGAUUCGCAAACAAAAUAAGGAAUCAACAGUGACUUCAGGAAACUUCCAAUGAUAUUCCAGGGUAGACCUACAGCCAAAGUCAAGGGAAUCUAUUUUCAUUUUUAAUGUCCUCUGACCUGAAAUAAGAGAAUCAGAAACAAUAAAUUGGAAUGAAAAGUUGCCAAUUUAGACAUUUCUCAACAGGAAGCCCUAUAGAGAUAAAAAAGUUAAAAAUGGAAACAAACAUCUGGCUUAAGCCUCUGGUCCAGAGACCGAAAGUUGCUCUGUGCACUCAGAAUGCAGAGCUUGUCGAAAGGAUCACCUGCAGGUGUUGCAAACAUCGGAAGGACUAAUGCCUCACGAUGUGUAGAAACUCAAGAGCAACUUUCCAAAAUCUGUCCAGCGAUGUCCCUCAGGCAGACAUUAAUACCCAACACUCCCUGCCCUUCCUUCCUCUAAACUCCAUCUAGAGCAGAUAGCUGUUCUUUUUGUCUACCUGGGUACCUCUGGAGUCUUUUCAUGUGGUUCAGGUGAAGCUGACCUCAGCUCCAGCCCCCUCUUCCUUCAGACUAGCAGGUGACUCAGAGGUGGCUGAUCAGGAACUCUAGCCCACUGGUUCCAUGAUGGGCAAAUGACCCAACCUGUGUCCUUGAUCUUCAGAAUUUUUAGGAAGGAUGGUAUCUCUUCAGUGGAGUUAAGCUGGCUGCCAAGCUAGAAAGCAGAAUCCAUUUCUCCUUAUACCUGGGCUUGCCCUGGGGCAGCUCACCUGUUUUCGUGCCUCUGCUUCUGUUUCCCUGCAAUUACUUUUCCCUUCUCCCUCUUCUCACAGCCUCAUGGCUGCUACUUUGUCAUGGCCACUGAUGCGCCCUCAUUCUUGCCUUUUGCCUUUGCUCUGUGCAUCUCUCCCUUUCUCCCCAUUCCACCCCAUGAUGCAGAGACCAUGUCUGUUUUGUGUACUAUUGUAUAUCCAGUGCCUGGAAUACUUUUGAUUAAGGAAUGAUUUUUGCCUUUCUCUGAGUUUUCCAUUCAGACUUGCCAAGACAUGGCAUCUGAUGGGGCUGAGCCCCUUCAUGCCUGUCUUUGGUCAGGCAUCACCCCGGUCCAACCCAUUAUGGCCAAUGUCUAGCAGGGCCACCUGCAGGUAAUUAAAGGCAUCCAGAAAGAUGGAAGUAUAACUUGUUCAGUGCAAACAAGCUAUGAUGGGCAGAUUCUGGCUCAGCUCCUGCAUCCUGGUAUUCCUGCCCUUGUGUAAUCCUCUCCCCUUGAGUGUUGGCUGGGCCUGGUGACUUGCUCCUAACCAAGAGAAUACAGCAAAAGUGAUGGAAGUCAUUCCCAUGAUUAGGUUAUCAAAGAUUGCGACUUCUGUCUUGCUGGUAUUCUCACUCUGGUUCUUCGUAUAUGCUUGCCCUGUUGGAGAGGACCAUCUGUCAAGGGACCGUGGGUGACAUUCAGCCAACAGCAGAAAACUGAAUCCUACCAAUGGUCACGUGAGCUGCGAAGUGUACCCAUCCCAGCAAAGCCUUCAGAUGAGACCAGAGCCUCAGCUGACGCCUGGAUUUCAGCCUUGUGAGAGACCCUGAGGCAGAGGACCCAGCUGAGCGGUUCCUGGAUUCCUGACCUACACAAAUUCAGUGAUUUCAGAAGCCACGUGGUCCAGGUGGCAUAGCGCAAGAUGGAGGAGGACCACCCAACCAGUAUCAGACUGAGAUCGGAGGGAGAGAUGAACCUCGUUUCCAUGAGUCAGGAAUUCAGGGGUGUUCCUUCGGGCAGUCCCCACCCAAGGUAUCUCAUGAGGGUACAGUCAGAUGUUGGCCAACGCUGCAUCAUCUGAAUGCUCUAGGCUGGAGGAUCCAUUUCCAAGAGGGUGCACUCAUGUGGCUGUUGUCCAGAAGCCUCAGCUCCUUUCCACACAGUGAUCCAAGACACCAAAGAGGAAGCUGUGAUGCCUUCACACACUGUCACUUCCAUCAUAUAAAUUUCCUGGUCACACAGGGACCUGGUGGGUGCAAAGAGCAGAAGGUCUGGAAUGAGGCUGCCUGGAGCAAAUUCCGGUUCUCAUCUUUACUGGCUGUGUGACCUUGGAUCAAGGCAGGAAUGGAAACAGCACAAGCCUUUGAAUUGAAGGAUCCAGACUGGAGUUCUAACUCAGCCCUGGCCCUGUCCUCAGAAGGAGCUGACACCUUCUCAGGAAAAUGCACAGAUCCUCAGGGAAUGAUGCUCCACCGACUUCAGGAGGCCAGGUGUGACCACGUGACUGGCCUGUCCCUUCUGCGCAGAACUUCAAGUGCAAGCCUGUGAUCCGCCAUAUUCCCUCAUCCUGCCUCGGUGACAGGGGAGGCGUGUGUUGAGAUGAAGCUUCCCUGUCCUUGGUCCCUUAGCAUUUGGGGCCUUGACCCUGAAGAGACUGACCUCCUAGGGCUAGCUAAUUCCUAGAGAUAGCAAACAGCUCCUGUGAGAACACGCCUUUGAUACACAAACCAACCAAUCUACAGCCACAGCCCCAACUAUGUCUUCUAUCAAACUCGCACCCAAGCCAGUGUUCUCCCUGCCCUGAACCACCCCAGGACCAGGUACUGGACAGCUAGGGGCCACACCUGUAGCCCAGACCUGCCAGAAUUAUCCAAACUAGUCAACCCUAUGCUAACUCAGUGUACCCACUCUGCCUCGCCCAUUCCUUCCUGCGAAAACCCCAAUAAAGACUCUGGGCCAUGCUAUUCCCUGGCCCUCUGUGCCUCCCGACCAACCCCGGUCCCUCUCCAUGUGGCACUGCAAGAUGUUCCGUGCCUCCUGCUUCUACGGAUAUGUGAGUAGAAACUUCUUUAUGAUCAUCAUUUUUGUGCCUGCAUGUCUUAUCAUUCCUGAUAAAAAUAAGUCCCACUCCAUUUUAACUCAAACCUGACCCAUCCUGAUGGAUACACUAGGAAGAAGAUUGGGACUGGCAUCAGCCACACUGGAUUUUCUUACCCUCUUCCCCACCUCUGGGUUCUGCUUCGCUCCGGGCUAGCCUCUCCUACUGCAGGUGGGCUUUCGUGUGAGGAAGGUGGGCCCGAGCAUCCCCGGCUUCACUACCAGAGCCGAGAGGCAGGAGGCUGUCUUCGCUGCCGAUUCCAGCAGAACAGGCAUAGGGAAAGAUCAGUCUGGCCCAGUUUGAGUCAGGUGCAAUCAUGGGACAAUCUCUGCGGGGCACGGCCGUCGGUCAGGACUGAGCCAUCCACUCACCCCUGUGCCUGGGUGGGCGGACAGUGCUGGGAGCCAAGGGGAGCCACCACCGAGACCUAUCAUCGCCCUUCCGUGAAUGGAGUCUGGACACCCAAACCCUGCCUCGCCCUGAGGGAAGGAGUUUGCAGGCAGCUGCUCAUUGCACAAAGUACUACUGGGAAACCAGACAAGCACGGAACGAAGGAAUUUCAUUUGAGGUAGAAGCUCGGAGGUUUUUUCUGAGAUAGGGUCAAGCCAACCCAUUAACAUGGUACACACCAUCCAUCCUCGCCAAUAGUAGGAAAACCACCCACUUAAACGAGCGCGUGAGGUGAAGGGUAGCAAACGUUUAUCGGUGUUA